GUGACGCAGACAACGACACAAUUUUCGAGUGCCUCUACGCGAAACGAACGGAGUUUAACCCGGAGACUUAUGACACAACGUACGUCUGGUUCUUCCCGUCACAAGGGACGGAAGUUGCUUUCUACGCAUACCCAGGAAGCGAACCUGGAUUGGUACAAUUCACGUUUCCGGAAGAUCCGACUCCAAAGGACGUCAACGUAUAUUACACCGACUAUGAAAACUGCCUUGUUGUCGAUGUGGAGUACCACGGACAUCAAUGCACGCUCUGGGUUGUCAGGCAGCUAAAGGACAGCGUUCCAAAAAACUGCAUCGACCACUUCGUUGACACUUGUGGUGUUAUAGUACCAGCGCACAGCAGAGACCUGUGUCCUGAUGGCGAAGGCGACUACUAGUGGCGGGAAAGAUGCAAUCUGAACAACUUGCUGGAAUUACGGAAACUGGCGUCGUCAUGCGGUUCGGCGACCGAACGUGUGUGAUAAUUGCAUCGCCAUCAAUAUAGUACUGCUGUUAAAGCGACGGGCCACUUCAUCGUAGUGACUGUAUUCUUUUCACUGGAUUCCUGCGA